GUUCAUAAAGUCAGAUGUGAAAGCCCGGGGCUCAACCUCGGAACUGCAUUUGAAACUGGUGAACUAGAGUACUGUAGAGGGGGGGUAGAAUUUCAGGUGUAGCGGUGAAAUGCGUAGAGAUCUGAAGGAAUACCAGUGGCGAAGGCGGCCCCCUGGACAGAUACUGACACUCAGAUGCGAAAGCGUGGGGGAGCAAACAGGAUUAGAUACCCUGGUAGUCCACGCCGUAAACGAUGUCUACUUGGAGGUUGUGGCCUUGAGCCGUGGCUUUCGGAGCUAACGCGUUAAGUAGACCGCCUGGGGAGUACGGUCGCAAGAUUAAAACUCAAAUGAAUUGACGGGGGCCCGCACAAGCGGUGGAGCAUGUGGUUUAAUUCGAUGCAACGCGAAGAACCUUACCUACUCUUGACAUCCAGAGAAGCCAGCGGAGACGCAGGUGUGCCUUCGGGAGCUCUGAGACAGGUGCUGCAUGGCUGUCGUCAGCUCGUGUUGUGAAAUGUUGGGUUAAGUCCCGCAACGAGCGCAACCCUUAUCCUUGUUUGCCAGCGAGUAAUGUCGGGAACUCCAGGGAGACUGCCGGUGAUAAACCGGAGGAAGGUGGGGACGACGUCAAGUCAUCAUGGCCCUUACGAGUAGGGCUACACACGUGCUACAAUGGCGCAUACAGAGGGCGGCGAACUUGCGAGAGUGAUCGAAGGGCAAAAAGUGCGUCGUAGUCCGGAUUGGAGUCUGCAACUCGCCUCCAUGAAGUCGGAAUCGCUAGUAAUC
rnacentral:rRNA from 1 species